rnacentral:rRNA from 1 species
UACAGAGGCCCCAAGCGUUACUGAGAAUCACUGGGCGUAAAGGGUGCGUAGGCGGUCGGGUAAGUCUGAUGUGAAAUCUCACAGCUUAACUGUGAAACUGCAUUGGAUACUAUCCGGCUCGAGGAAUGGAGGGGAGACUGGAAUACUUGGUGUAGCAGUGAAAUGCGUAGAUAUCAAGUGGAACACCAGUGGCGAAGGCGAGUCUCUGGACAUUUCCUGACGCUGAGGCACGAAAGCCAGGGGAGCAAACGGG